GGACAGUUGUAUGAUCUCCCCAUCGGGACCCAGGAUCAGGCUGCCAACAGAUUCACCGUUCUGCAAAUCUGACAAAACACAACAACUCUGAGGAACAGAGACAAUCACAAAGGAAACAGCAGAGGAAGAAACGGAGCCUGCUGGUGGAGUCGACUCAGAUUUUCCUGGGAUUGAGACCCAACUCUGUCUGCCUUUGGUGGUGCAUCCUGCUGGGUCUGAGCCUGGAUAGCCUGGUUGGGGACAACAGUACGACUCUCUGCUAUGGGAGGUAGGCGCUGUGCAUGCUGGUCAUCACUGCUGGGGCGCUCCCAUCCUGGCUGAAACAUUCAACAGACACGUUCAUGCUAUUUGGAGGUUUUGCUCUCAGAAAAUGUAAUGGCACACGGGGACAAUGCUUCUUUCAAUGAACAAAUAAUCGUAGUUCUGAUAUAACUGAUGCCAGCAGCAUCUACAGUGAACUCUAUGUGCUGCCCCGUAGCUGCCAGUACUUCCCCAAAGGACACUGACUGGUUGGGCACCACUGCACAGACCACUUGUCCCACAAAAUAAACUUUUUAUUUCACUAGCAGUUUGUGUGGUGCCUCUAUCUAGGAAGAAAUACCUGAUGGCGCACAAGUGUAGUUAUAUGCUGUUGUGAUACUACUAAGUCAACUACUUGCAACCUGAGUGGGUGAGCACUGAGUUACUGUUAAUGGUUAUUUUCUAUUGUGGAAAAUAUUAUCAUACAGUAUGUGCAUCUUAGCAACAUUGAUACGUUUUUUGGCCUGACAGUUGCUUAACUGUACUUGAAACUGCUGUCUUACCCUGUCUGUCUUCUCCAAGCAGGACCCGUGGCUGACUGACUGUCCCACUGUCAGAGGAGGAAGGAGGCCUGUGUGUGGGGAUCAUCAGGGUUAUCAACAUGUAGUGUAGACAAAUUAAAGAUUUGGUUUUAUUACUUUGCUUUUGCUAUCAGCCUACUACUACUUCUAUUACUACUACUAAAAUGUUGCCUAACUUUGGAGCGUUAUUUAGUUUUCCCCUCAUGGAUGCGUUAGGUCAUCUAGUUUUAUAUGAUACCAGUAUCUUCACUAAAACAGAGCUACAGCCUGUGAAAGAUGGAGGGAGUGGCAAAGGUAAGGAUAAUGCGCUGGCACUUGUGGCCAGUCAGAUUUCACACCACUGUUUGUUUAGACUCAUCUGUAUCUCGGCACUUCAGCAGUUCAGGAAAAUUUUGUUUUCAUUUGAUAAAGUGAAGAAGAAGGUGAGUACAUGAAGAUAGCUUGCAUUUCAGGACAUCUCGUUGACUUAAAUUCAUUACACAUUUACAACUUCAAAUUAGGACAUCAAUUUGGUUUGUUACAAGAGACCAUACACACACACCUGUCCUCCCAUGUCUGUUCACGUUCAUCGAUCUUUCAUAGCUGCCUUUAUCACUGGUUAUUUCACUAUCUUGAAUAGAACAGCCUUGAUCAUCUGGCGCGUAACUGUCACAGUUCAUGUUUGGAUGAUGGAGGUC